rnacentral:tRNA from 1 species
GCCGAGAUAGCUCAGUCGGUAGAGCACAGCACUGAAAAUGCUGGUGUCCCCAGUUCAAGUCUGGGUCUCGGCACCU